ACGUAAGCUAAUACCGCAUACACCCUACGGGGAAAAGGGGGCUUCGGCUCUCGCUAUUAGAUGAGCCCGCGUUAGAUUAGCUUGUUGGUGAGGUAAUGGCUCACCAAGGCGACGAUCUAUAGCUGGUCUGAGAGGAUGAUCAGCCUCAUUGGGACUGAGACACGGCCCAAACUCCUACGGGAGGCAGCAGUGGGGAAUAUUGGACAAUGGGCGAAAGCCUGAUCCAGCCAUGCCGCGUGUGUGAAGAAGGCUCUAGGGUUGUAAAGCACUUUCAGUAGGGAGGAAAAGUUAGUAGUUAAUACCUGCUAACUCUGACGUUACCUGCAGAAGAAGCACCGGCAAACUCCGUGCCAGCAGCCGCGGUAAUACGGAGGGUGCGAGCGUUAAUCGGAAUUACUGGGCGUAAAGCGCGCGUAGGUGGUUUGUUAAGCAGGAUGUGAAAGCCCCGAGCUCAACUCGGGAACUGCAUCCUGAACUGGCAAGCUAGAGUAUAGUAGAGGAUAGUGGAAUUUCUGGUGUAGCGGUGAAAUGCGUAGAUAUC
rnacentral:rRNA from 1 species